rnacentral:rRNA from 1 species
CAGUAGCCGCGGUAAUACGUAGGUCCCGAGCGUUGUCCGGAUUUAUUGGGCGUAAAGCGAGCGCAGGCGGUUAGAUAAGUCUGAAGUUAAAGGCUGUGGCUUAACCAUAGUACGCUUUGGAAACUGUUUAACUUGAGUGCAAGAGGGGAGAGUGGAAUUCCAUGUGUAGCGGUGAAAUGCGUAGAUAUAUGGAGGAACACCGGUGGCGAGAGCGGCUCUCUGGCUUGUAACUGACGCUGAGGCUCGAAAGCGUGGGGAGCAAACAGGAUUAGAUACCCCCGUAGUCCCUGUCUCUUAUACA